rnacentral:rRNA from 1 species
UACGUAGGGUGCAAGCGUUGUCCGGAAUUACUGGGCGUAAAGCGCGCGUAGGCGGAUUGUUAAGUCAGGGGUGAAAUCCUGGAGCUCAACUCCAGAACUGCCUUUGAUACUGGCGAUCUCGAGUCCGGGAGAGGUGAGUGGAACUGCGAGUGUAGAGGUGAAAUUCGUAGAUAUUCGCAAGAACACCAGUGGCGAAGGCGGCUCACUGGCCCGGUACUGACGCUGAGGUGCGAAAGCGUGGGGAGCAAACAGG